rnacentral:lncRNA from 1 species
CUUUUCCUCUCUUAAACUGGAACUGUUGAUCUUUUCUGAAUAUGGUUGGACAAUGGCUUGUGGUCAGAGUGCUGCUGGAAAUUCAGAGGCUGCUAAAUGCAACACCACUGUUUGGAAUGCAGUGUGAUUUCUGUGCACAGGCACAGCUCCUGUAGUCUGCAGUUCUUGGAUAUCAGAGAGGAAUUGCACGCUCUUCCCCUGUCUGUAUCUUACGUGUGUCUGACAUCAACACCCCCCUGGGAGAGCUAAAAGAAGAGCUGGCGUCUUCCCUCUUGGUUCUAAGAACACCUGGUGGACUUCCUGCUUAAAGGCAAGGGACAAUAUAUCUCUCACUUACUUUCACAAACCCAAACUGAGCUACACACAACAAAAAUGAAGACAUAGAAAAGAAAGAAUACUAGACUUGUGUCAACAUAUUUUUUUUCUUUUUGAAAGAAACCUGUUCAGUUUAAUCCUCAUGAAAGUGGGAAAAAUAAUAACAGUGGGUUAAAGCCAGUGUUUAAGAAAAUACAUUUAAAUAUAUUUUUUUACUUAAAAAUGACUUUCUUCAGCAUUCAAAGACCUAAGAGUUAAACUAUAAUUGUAUACACCUCAUGUAACAAAUUGACAAAAAAUUUAAUAAACCAGACUAUAUAAAAAGCAAGAGGUUGGGUGUUGGUUUUUUGUUGUGGGUUUUUUUUUUUUUUUUUUUUUUUGGUCAGAAAAAUGUAUUUGUGAAUUAGCUGAUCGUAUAAAAAGCAUUAAACUUUUAAAAAAAUGUGUUGUUCUUGUUGUUGUUUUUUCAAGUGUUAAUGGUUUUACCAUUCAUUGUAGCUACAUUCCAAACCCCUGUAACAUCAGGGCAUGUUAUUCUUAUCUGUGUAGCACAGUGAGCUUAAUCUUUACACUGAGGUCACUCUCAUUACUACUUCCCCAGAGCCAUUAUCCUCUGAUGAAUCUUCCUGAGGUCUCAUGCGGUUGAACAGAUGUAACAAUACG